AGAGGGUGCAAGCGUUAAUCGGAAUUACUGGGCGUAAAGCGCGCGUAGGUGGUUCGUUAAGUUGGAUGUGAAAGCCCCGGGCUCAACCUGGGAACUGCAUCCAAAACUGGCGAGCUAGAGUAUGGUAGAGGGUGGUGGAAUUUCCUGUGUAGCGGUGAAAUGCGUAGAUAUAGGAAGGAACACCAGUGGCGAAGGCGACCACCUGGACUGAUACUGACACUGAGGUGCGAAAGCGUGGGGAGCGAACAGGAUUAGAUACCCUGGUAGUCCACGCCGUAAACGAUGUCAACUAGCCCGUUGGAAUCCUUGAGAUUUUAGUGGCGCAGCUAACGCAUUAAGUUGACCGCCUGGGAGUACGGCCGCAAGGUUA
rnacentral:rRNA from 1 species